UACGAAGGGGGCUAGCGUUGUUCGGAAUUACUGGGCGUAAAGGGCGCGUAGGCGGUGUGUCAAGUCAGGCGUGAAAGCCCCGGGCUCAACCUGGGAACCGCGCUUGAGACUGGCACGCUCGAGUUCGGGAGAGGAUGGUGGAAUUCCCAGUGUAGCAGUGAAAUGCGUAGAGAUGUGGAGGAACACCGAUGGCGAAGGCAGCCCCCUGGGUCAAGAUUGACGCUCAUGGCACGAAAGCGUAGG
rnacentral:rRNA from 1 species